GCUGUAGCGGUAGCGGCCAGAAGGCAAAAUGGCGGUGUGCGGCGCUCGUGCAGAAAGCGCGGCCGUGUUUCAUUUUCACAUUCCGUGGAUGACGACAGCGCAAGUAAGGAUGCACUUAUUAGGCGACUGCUCGAAGCAGUUCGCAACCAUCCAUGCGUACUUCAUGCGAAACGCAUGGACUGCCACGACACGGAGCGGAACAACGCAUACGAAAGCAGCGCUAUAGGAAAGCAGCGUGGUCUCGCCACAGAACCGUGUCGAGCGUGCAUGCUUCACAAGUGGCGACCAUGCCAGGACAACACGGAGGAGGAGCUGUUGCGCAGAGUGUGCGACACUGACAGCGUGUCUCCGUUGCCGUGCGAGGACAGCUUCGACCAGGAAGAACAAGCAGGCCAAGCGGGGCAGUACUGCGUUGAGCAGGCUCCCCCCCCUACAGGUUGACGGACGCACUUCUGUUGCUAAGAAAAAAAAAACGCGAAACAAUGAUGAUUUCGAUUAGCAGCUUCUGAGCCACCUCAAGAAAGUAAAAUGUCAGAAAAUGAGGCAUUUUACCUUUCUGUUGGUUUGACACUGGACAGGCUCGCCAGGCAAGUACCAGCUAAGUGCAAAGCACGGUUGAUGGAGGUAAUUGCCGAGUCUGAUAUAUAAGCACUUGACAAAAAUACGCAGCAGCUGCCUUCGUUUAUCCCGUUCACUCCUGUCAGAAAAGAUGACAGCAGUAUGCUGUUGCUAUUUUGUUAUAGAAUGAGUCUGCAGAAGCACUGUACCCAAAUGGUGCCACUGUGCCAAUGUUUUUAUAAAGCAGCGCAAGAGGGCUGUUGUUUACCAAGGGCUUAGUUGCAGUUUGUACCGGAAAUUCAGCAACUGCAUUUUCAUUUGCCUUGGCAAUUCAUUCCAACAUCUCAAUUUUUUAGAGUGGCAUAAUUGAUCACUUUCACAUUUUUUUAUUAAGCAGGUCUUCAUUUUUUUUAUUAAGCAGGUCUCCCUAGUGCCUUCAUUCCACUUAUAUAUAUAUGUAUGCGUUUUCUUUGAGGGCAGCCUGAAUGAGAUUGCAUUUACUUUCUUGUCCUUUGAGACUUAGGUGAAACUGCGCUUGCAGUCUCUGUUCAUGUACUGUGCAUGUUGAGUUAAAGAGGGAGAGUUCCUUUGUAAACUCACAUGUGCCAGUAGCCAAAUAUAAUCCACAUUGCUCUUACAUUUUGGUUGCAACAUUGUGUUGCAUUUCAAUGGAAUACAUUUGUCUGGCUUUGAAGUGUGAUAGCCAUGGUAGGCAGGUCAUUUUAUA